GUGCAAAAGUAAUUGUGGUUUUUGUCAUUGAAAGUAAUGGCAAAAACUGCAAUAACUUU
rnacentral:miRNA from 1 species